GAAUGAAUGUCUACUGUUGCCUGGACUGGUCUGCAAAGUCCUGUAGCAUUUGAGCAUGUGUGAGGGCUUUAUAGGGCUUGCACAAUGCCAAGACUAGUUACACAUUUUCAUAGCAGCUUUGUUUAUAGACAAGAACUGGAAACAGUGCAGAUGUCUAUCAGCAGGUGAGUGGAUGCAGACUCCCCAGGCCCACCUUAGGAGACAGAGUGGGGGAAGGGCCAUACAGUUGAUCUCUCAAAAAUAGGAAAGGCUGAGCUAUUGGCACUUAACAUCGAUGAUGCUCAAAAUAAUUAUUCUGAAAGAAGCCAGAUUAAAAAAAAAUACAACAUGCUGUAUGAUUCCAUUUAUUGAAACUUCUAGAAAGUAUAUAGUAACAAAAAGCAGAUCAGGGGUCACCUGGAGAUGUGAGGGGGGAUGGUGGAGGUGUGAAGGGAUUGCAGAGAGGCAGGAGGAAACUUUUGGGGAGAUAGACACAUUGUUUAUAUUGACUGUGGUGUCCUCACAGCUGAUGCAUAGUAUUGGAACUCAGCAGAGUGUGCUUGAAAUGUGCAGGUUGCUGCCCUUCAUUGAAACUGUUUUUUGAAAUUAGCUACAACCAACAGGGGACAGAGAAACCCCCAAGUGGUCUCUUCCUUUACUGAAGACUAUGAUGUAGAAAUUGAUUGCAGAAGAAAUCUCUUUCCUGACCAUGAAAUGUUUUGAGCUUAGCAGUGCUUACCUGCUGCGUGGCUAAAUUGAUCCUGCUUCAAAUGCUGGGCGGGAUCUUUAGGGGUGUAAGUACCACGUAGGCAACAUGAUGCCAAAGCGAGGUCUCUCUGCCCCCAGAUGCAGGUCCCUUCCCUCAUGCAUCAAUCCUUUGGGGAUAAAUGGGAGAAGCCCCGCCUGUGGUUCCAAAGCCUUUGGAAAGAAAGUUGAGGGAUCCCGGGAGCAAAGAGGGUUGGGGAUGUGCCAAGGAAUGAGUAGGAGGUGCGCACUGGAAGGAGGGUGCUCCACACAGGCCUCCACUGUGCACCCAGUGUCCCACAAGGCUGGUUCAGAGCCAGGGCUGCAGGCCAGGGACAUCCAGGGCACAUUGCAGGUGCAGGGGACUCUGCUGAGCCCAGGGAAGGGGAUACUGGGGCUGAGCAGAAUGCUCAGUGGUAAGGCACCCGGGUUCAAUACCUAGUCCUUUACCUGGAGCUGAAGCUCCCUGCCUCCUUUUCUUUUCCGGGUUAAAGCUUCCCCUGUGCAUUCAGUCUCAUUGGACUUGGAGUUACCUUUGACUCAACUCAGAAGUUCCCAUCUCUGGUAUCUCCACCUCCUCUUGGUACUGGGGAUUGGACCAGGGGCUCUGCCACUAAGCUACAUCCUCAGCCUUUUAAUUCUUUAUCUUGAGACAGUGCCUCACUAAGUUGCUGAGCCUGGCCUCAAACCCACAAUCCUCCUGCCUCAGCCUCCCAAGUCACUGGAUCAUAGGUGGGUGCCACUGUGCUCAGCCUGUGGUUGCAUUUGGAUGCAGUCCAAGCUGCUGCAGGUUUGGGGAAUGUUCUGUGGGCAUCUAUAUAACAGUACCUGGACGGGGGUGCUUUCUGAAGGGUGCACCAGACCCUCUCGCUGUUUGCUCUGUGGAUGUGCUGCCUGGCCUACAGUGGGUUAGUCACGGAACAUUCAGGAGAGAUCUAGGGCAUUGGGCAGUGCCCUCCAUCCAGCAGGUGACCUGGCAGGAAGAGCCCUUGCAGCAAGGAAGGGGGGUGGCACUCUGUAGGUGAAGGCACAGAGCUCUCUGAUGACUAGUGACCAACUGAAUGUGAAGCAGAAAAAUCCCAUGAACUUCAUGUUCAAGUACAAAGUUGGCUAGGAUGACUGGGUGGCAUUGCAAUCUCCUGAAGGUCCUUCUUGGAUUCAUACACAAAGAGAGAGCGAGGGAUUAAGGGGCAGGAAGGAAACACAACUUUUUCAAACACUGAGAUCUGGAGUCCAGCUCCUGCCAUGUAGUCAGUGAAUGAAUGGAUAAUAGUUGUUUUUACAGGACCAUGUGACCUGGGGCUGCUCGGCUUCCUGUGGGCCCUCAGCAUCCCCAUCUAUAAAGCAAGGGCACAGACCAAGGGUGCUGUCAGCUUUCUGUUGCUGUGACAAAGCAUCUGAGAGAAUCCCCUUAAAAGGAAACAGGGUUUCUUUUGGCUCAUGGUUGCAUACAUUUCAGUCCAUGGGACCUUAGCCCUGUUGCUUUGGGCCUGUGGCAGCACAGAAGGACAUCCUGGCAGCUGGAGCAUGUGACAGAGGAGGCUGCUCACCUCUAGGAAGUGGGGUGGGGGUGAGGGUAGGACUGGGCUGGGUCCAAUAUCCCCUCAAGGGCACACCCCUAAUGACCUCAUUUCCCUCCAUUAGGCCCCACCUCCUAAAGGUUGCAUUAUGUCCCAAGGGCCACAGGCUGAUGACCAAGCCUUUAGCACAUGGGCAAUGGGGACAUUUGACAUCCAAACCACAAUGCCAAGUGAUCAUUAACUGGGGGCUAACCCCUGGUCACCGGGCCAAUCCCUUCCCACACCCCAGACCUGGGGAGAUUGACUGCCAUCUGCAGGACAUCCACUGCAGGCAGCUGCCUCAGCCAACAUGGAAGUCCUUAGCAGAGGCUUUUUUUUUUUGGUGGUGGUGGGGGGGAGGUACCAGUGUUUGAUCUCAUGGAUGCUUGACCACUGAGCCACAUCCCCAGCCCAAUUUUGUAUUUUAUUUACAGUCAGGGUCUCACUCAGUUGCUUAGUGCCUUGCCAUUGCUGAGGCUGGUUUUGAACUUUUGAUCCUCUUGCCUCUGCCUCCCGAGGUGCAGGGAUUACAGGAGUGCACCACUGCGUUGGCCAAGAGGCUCAUUUUUGACAGUGGGGUUUCCUUGGAGAGAAAGCUAUCCCUUGCCCUGGGGGACAUCCCUGAUUUGCUCACACAGCAGGGCUGUGUCACUUUUUCUUUUCUCUGGAGAGCGACUCAAUUCAUACCUCGUAAACAUAGCCCCACAGGUUCUCUGAUUAAGAACAGUGCAGAGCUGGGGAGCAGUGGUGCAUGCCUGUAAUCCCAGCAACUCUGGAGGCUGAGGCAGAAGGAUUGAAAGUUCAAAGCCAACUUUAGCAGCUUAGGGAGGCCCUAAGA
rnacentral:lncRNA from 1 species